rnacentral:rRNA from 1 species
AACGUAGGUUCCGAGCGUUAUCCGGAUUUACUGGGCGUAAAGCGCGUUCAGGCGGUUUGGCAAGUCGGGCAUGAAAUCUCUCGGCUCAACCGGGAGAGGUUGUCCGAUACUGCUGGACUUGAGGGCAGUAGAGGGUGGUGGAAUUCCGGGUGUAGUGGUGAAAUGCGUAGAUAUCCGGAGGAACACCAGUGGCGAAGGCGGUGCUCUGGGCCGGAACUGACGCUGAUGAGCGAAAGCGUGGGGAGCAAACAGG